AGUGAACGCUGGCGGUAGGCCUAACACAUGCAAGUCGAACGGCAGCACAGUAAGAGCUUGCUCUUACGGGUGGCGAGUGGCGGACGGGUGAGGAAUACAUCGGAAUCUACUUUUUCGUGGGGGAUAACGUAGGGAAACUUACGCUAAUACCGCAUACGACCUACGGGUGAAAGCAGGGGAUCUUCGGACCUUGCGCGAUUGAAUGAGCCGAUGUCGGAUUAGCUAGUUGGCGGGGUAAAGGCCCACCAAGGCGACGAUCCGUAGCUGGUCUGAGAGGAUGAGCGGCCAGACUGGGAGAGAGACACGGGCGAGAAUGCUACGGGAGCCAGCAGUGGGGAAGAUGGGAAAAUGGGCGCAGGCCUGAUACAGGAAGGCUGGGAGAGUGAAAAGGGGUUUCGGAUUGUAAUGCCGUUUUGUCGGGAAAGAAAAGAUGCAGGUUGAUACCCCGCGGUUGGGAAGGUGGCGAAAGAGAAAGAGCAGGUUAAAGACGUG
rnacentral:rRNA from 1 species